rnacentral:rRNA from 1 species
CCUACGGGGGGCAGCAGUGAGGAAUAUUGGUCAAUGGUCGGGAGACUGAACCAGCCAAGUCGCGUGAGGGAUGAAGGUACAGAGUAUCGUAAACCUCUUUUGUCAGGGAACAAAGGCGGGGACGCGUCCCCGGAUGAGUGUACCUGAAGAAAAAGCAUCGGCUAACUCCGUGCCAGCAGCCGCGGUAAUACGGAGGAUGCGAGCGUUAUCCGGAUUUAUUGGGUUUAAAGGGUGCGCAGGCGGUCUGUUAAGUCAGCGGUAAAAGCCCGGGGCUCAACCCCGGCCCGCCGUUGAAACUGGCAGUCUCGAGUUGGAGAGAAGUAUGCGGAAUGCGCGGUGGAGCGGUGAAAUGCAUAGAUAUCGAGCAGAACUCCGAUUGCGAAGGCAGCAUGCCGGCUCCACACUGACGCUGAGGCACGAAAGCGUGGGUAUCGAACAGGAUUAGAUACCCUAGUAGUC